rnacentral:rRNA from 1 species
GCGUGGGGGUCGUGCUAGUACUGCAAGUCGAGCGGACAGAUGGGAGCUUGCUCCCUGAUGUUAGCGGCGGACGGGUGAGUAACACGUGGGUAACCUGCCUGUAAGACUGGGAUAACUCCGGGAAACCGGGGCUAAUACCGGAUGGUUGUCUGAACCGCAUGGUUCAGACAUAAAAGGUGGCUUCGGCUACCACUUACAGAUGGACCCGCGGCGCAUUAGCUAGUUGGUGAGGUAACGGCUCACCAAGGCGACGAUGCGUAGCCGACCUGAGAGGGUGAUCGGCCACACUGGGACUGAGACACGGCCCAGACUCCUACGGGAGGCAGCAGUAGGGAAUCUUCCGCAAUGGACGAAAGUCUGACGGAGCAACGCCGCGUGAGUGAUGAAGGUUUUCGGAUCGUAAAGCUCUGUUGUUAGGGAAGAACAAGUGCCGUUCAAAUAGGGCGGCACCUUGACGGUACCUAACCAGAAAGCCACGGCUAACUACGUGCCAGCAGCCGCGGUAAUACGUAGGUGGCAAGCGUUGUCCGGAAUUAUUGGGCGUAAAGGGCUCGCAGGCGGUUUCUUAAGUCUGAUGUGAAAGCCCCCGGCUCAACCGGGGAGGGUCAUUGGAAACUGGGGAACUUGAGUGCAGAAGAGGAGAGUGGAAUUCCACGUGUAGCGGUGAAAUGCGUAGAGAUGUGGAGGAACACCAGUGGCGAAGGCGACUCUCUGGUCUGUAACUGACGCUGAGGAGCGAAAGCGUGGGGAGCGAACAGGAUUAGAUACCCUGGUAGUCCACGCCGUAAACGAUGAGUGCUAAGUGUUAGGGGGUUUCCGCCCCUUAGUGCUGCAGCUAACGCAUUAAGCACUCCGCCUGGGGAGUACGGUCGCAAGACUGAAACUCAAAGGAAUUGACGGGGGCCGCACAGCGGUGGAGCAUGGGUUUAAUUCGAAGCACCCCAAAAACCUUACCAGGUCUGAAUCUCUGACAUCUAAAAAAGGACUCCCUUCGGGGCAA